UACGUAGGGUGCGAGCGUUGUCCGGAAUUAUUGGGCGUAAAGAGCUUGUAGGCGGUUUGUCGCGUCUGCUGUGAAAAUCCGGGGCUCAACCCCGGACUUGCAGUGGGUACGGGCAGACUAGAGUGCGGUAGGGGAGACUGGAAUUCCUGGUGUAGCGGUGGAAUGCGCAGAUAUCAGGAGGAACACCGGUGGCGAAGGCGGAUCUCUGGGCCAUUACUGACGCUGAGGAGCGAAAGCGUGGGGAGCGAACAGG
rnacentral:rRNA from 1 species